rnacentral:rRNA from 1 species
AUUGAACGCUGGCGGCAUGCUUUACACAUGCAAGUCGAACGGUAACAGGCCGCAAGGUGCUGACGAGUGGCGCACGGGUGAGUAAUGCAUCGGAACGUGCCCAGUCGUGGGGGAUAACUACUCGAAAGAGUAGCUAAUACCGCAUACGAUCUAUGGGUGAAAGCGGGGGACCGUAAGGCCUCGCGCGAUUGGAGCGGCCGAUGUCAGAUUAGGUAGUUGGUGGGGUAAAGGCUCACCAAGCCAACGAUCUGUAGCUGGUCUGAGAGGACGACCAGCCACACUGGGACUGAGACACGGCCCAGACUCCUACGGGAGGCAGCAGUGGGGAAUUUUGGACAAUGGGCGCAAGCCUGAUCCAGCAAUGCCGCGUGCAGGAAGAAGGCCUUCGGGUUGUAAACUGCUUUUGUACGGAACGAAACGGCUCUGGUUAAUACCCGGGGCUAAUGACGGUACCGUAAGAAUAAGCACCGGCUAACUACGUG